CACAGGUGUUGCAUGGCUGCCGAUCAGAUCGUGGUGCCGAACUGUUAUUUUCGUAUUUAAAUAUCACGAUCAACUCCCUUACCCAAAGGUUUAUAAUUUACACCGUCCACUCUGCUUUGGCAGAAUGGAUAGCGUGGGUAUAAAUAUUGUGGACUAUUGUGCGUUUAUACACGUACAAAGGUAGAUAGGUCGACGACAAGUCCUCAUGGCCCAGAUGAAAUAGGCUAUACGUGUGUUACAAUGAACGUCUCAAUAAGUUGCAAACAUAUAUAUAUAUAUAUAAGUGGGAGCGAUUCUUUUAAAAGCGUUCUUGUUCAGACUAUUCUCUGAAACUCGGGAAUAUAAAGGCGGAAUCACCAGUAAUCGCGGAUCAGCACGCCGCGGUGAAACACAAAAACUUACCCGGGGCACUCACCGCCCGUCACGUUCUGAAAGGAUGCUAGGCUGGAAAAUAUGCAUGCUUUUUAUUCAAUGUAUAUUAUAUAUAUCUAAAAUGUUAUAUAAAAAAUUGAGUAUUUGGUAUGAAAUAUUUAAGGUCUGGUAACCAAUUGGAAUAAAGUCGUAACAAGGUAUGACUUCCGGAAGGAGGUCAUGGAACG
rnacentral:rRNA from 1 species